rnacentral:misc_RNA from 1 species
GUUGUUUCUUGAAGUCCUGUCAAGAAACCCAAGGCGCUGACUGUUAUAAGGGCAUUGAGAAUACUCGCAAGUAUAUAUUUUCGGAUUCAUUAUUGUAUUGGACUCAUCUGUCAUCUGCUUCCUCUUUUGAUUGAAGUCUGAAUUGUUCUCCAUGAAUUCUUCCUUAAUCUGUGCUCCCACAGGUGCCAUCAUGAGUCUCUCUCUAGAUCCAGGAGCUCCCAUAUUAAAGAAAUUGAGAUCAUGCGGUUUGCUUUCCUCUGCUUCAACAUUUGGUUCAUCUUCAACUCCUUCGACAUCGUAAUCACUUGUGUCACUGAUCAAAAGAGAUCCGCUCCCACAAAUCGACACAGGUGGGCAUUUAUCAGGAAACAAUUUCCUAGCCAAAGUUUCUUCCUGGUUUACAAUGGCCAACCAUGUAGCACUCUCCUUUGCAGUCAUCU